rnacentral:lncRNA from 1 species
CAUCAUAUGGAUUAUCCGGGCUCAAGUUUUGCUAAAUUAAAAUAUAUUAAUAUAUUAACUCUUACUAAUUCGGAGGGGUCAAUCCCAUCUUGACUCACGCACCGACUUGACAAUUACUUGACUGCACCCAAAAAUAUUUCAUUACUGAAUUAAAAACUCAGUUAGUCUGGCAACAAAUUAUAGUGAGUUACUUGCAAGUCACCAUGGUGAUC